CAGUGGUUUCAUGCCUUAAAGAUAUACAUGCGUUCAAACAAGAUCUCAUCUCUUGGUUAGGGUAAACUGUUAAGAUUUAAACUUACUCAUUUUACCUUCCACCAUGGGGCUUGCAACCGUCACUUGUGUCUUGAGUAGUUAAAAGAUAGAACGGUCUAGUCAAGCGCCAUGUCUCUUGUUCUUCGAUUAAAUAUAGCUCUGGAGUUUUUGCAGAUUUUCAAAUAAAACUCAGAGAUUCCUUGUAUGACUCUGUCUAGUCUCUCUUUUGUGGUAUUUCUGGAUCCUUACCAAGGCAGGGAUGGUGUAUGCCUUCUCUCAAAGUAUGUGGUAUUUUUGGUAUAAGGCAUAGUGGCAUUGCCUUCUCUCUCACCCUACUCUAAUAAGGUUUUGAUAUCUGGAGCUCAUAGGUGGGAGACAGCUAAUACAUACUUACAAGACAUUUAUUGCAUAGUCAAACCAUGGAUCCAGAAGAACAAGUCAAUAAUUCAAAUCAAGAUGUGCAUGUGUGGCGAAUGAAUGGUGAUAAUGUUGAAAGUAAUGGUGAUAACAAUGGUGAAAGUCUAAUUCUACUUGUGCUCUUUUGAGGGGAUACAUACCUUUCUUGCUCUUUUGAAACUUUUUGAGGAGAAUGAGAUGCUCUAUAUUUUCUUUUUUCUUUCCUCACAGGUGGGUAUCUUGUACCCCUAAUUCUACUGUCGGACACUUGUCCAUUUUUACCUCUCGUCUCACUUUUUCUUUUCUUUUGAGGUUCCGGGCACUUGCCCCUUUUUAUUUCCUCUUAUACUUUUUUUUCUUUUUUUUAGAGCACUCAUCUCCUGAAAUAAUAUAGCAAGUGGUAGUAACCAAGAUAACUUGAGCAUUUAUUUCACAAGGAAAAACAGAAAUGUUUUUGGCUAUUCUCUCCCGGAUUAGGAGUAGAAUAUUUUUAGGUGAUUCUGGAGAUGGAAAUGGGUGGAUAUAUGUGGAUGUGUACUUCCGGAGUAGAAGCAGCAUGUGUGAGUGAACGUGCAAGUGAAUCUUGAUUUAACCACAUGACAGUCUCCUAAGGGUCUACACAGCUUGACCACACUCAAUGCUCAUAAGCAGUAAAAAGUAAAUGUGUGGCUCAAAGUCUAGCAAGCAUGUAUAUAUGGCUGUGGUAGGAAUUUAAACUCUCAUCAUACAGGAACUCAUCAUGUGAUAUUUUAAAGAUUUUCAUAGAUAAAAUUCUCCAGAAUUCUAGCAUCUCUAGUAAUAGAUAAACAGCAGCUCAACCUUCCCAUAUCAUAUCCAUUAACGACUUAGACUUUAGAUCAAGUACUCUCCCCACAAGUUCAGGUUUUGAGCAAAUCUUAAUUAAUACCAGUCAUGCCUACACUUGAGAGAGAUUUCAAUUUUAAGAACUAGUCAUGGCAGAGCAACUAUUCAUCAUUUUCAUGAGCGAGCUUAUCAUGAGGGUUCAUAGCAAACUUUAUUUAUUUAUUUAUUUAGCAAACUAAGAAGAGAUAUAUAUAUAUAUAUAAGCACAAAAUCUUUAUUUGGGUUUUCAUGAUUAUGCAUCUUUUUAUUAUUUGAGUAAAAUAUAAACAUGAGUAGAACACUUAGCUGGAUAAAUGGGGGUGCUCUCCCCCAAGCUGGAUUUUGACAUAAUUCCUUCUGAUGUAGCUAGCAAGUGGUGGAGGUGUAUUUGAAUGUCAGCAGCACCCUGACAGCGAUUAGGAUGUCCUCCGUCUGCUAGUCUUCUUUGAUCCUCGAAUUCUGUGGAGCUCAAAUAGACAACAAAGCUUUGUGGAACUGGUUAGGUGUUAGCAUAAAAUCUAGCCUUUAUCAUGUUGAGCCUCCUCAAUAAAUGUUACUCUCUUUAGUAGGAUCAUAAAUUUAUUUUUGUAUUUUUAUUUUUAUAGGAUAGGAAUAUAUUUAUUUCAUUUUUACGCCACCACAGUGAAUGUACUUAUGGGUUUUAUUCCAUGAGUAUACUCACAUGGGGCUUACUAUUUUAAACAUUUUUAUUUUCUUUUCAAGAUGAUGUGAACCUGAUUAACUAAGCAAACUAUUUUAAAUAAUUGAAAGGAAAAAGAUAACUACCAAGUUUACCUCUUGGCAAGACGUUCAGUGUUUUUAAGUCCUCCGAACUGGACUCUCCGUUUUCUCAGUCGUCUUGGGAUUCGCUGGAUGGCGUAGUCGGUGGUUCCGGCGGCGCCUGCUCUUCAUGUAUAACUAUCUUCUCUCUACACACCUAACUCGGUGCUACGGUCUCCUCAGGACAGCUCUAUUCAAGCUGUAUGUCUUCAGACAUUACCACUUCUCCUUCGUAGUCCGCCCAUCCGUCCUUGAUGAUUUGCCUUCUCUGGUUGCGGUUGCGUCGUAUUAUUCUUGUCCUGACCUGCUUAGAGUCUUCAACUAUAUAGUUAGGGUCAGUAAAAUAGUGGCGUACCUUCUCAGAGGGGAAGUGCAUGUGGACUUCUCCGGUUCCAAUCUAGAUGAUUGCUUUAACAGUGCUGAGGAACGGUCUUCCAAAGAUGAUGGGUGGAUCGUGCUCGUCUUCUCCCAUGUCAGUAACCUUCAACCUUUCGGAAUGUCUGAUCUUCCAUCUAGAGCUAAAUGUAUUUCGGUUUUAGGGGUAUGGUUCCGAACAGGAGUUGAUAGGUGACUGCGGCCAUUAUGUUGAUGCCUGACCCGGUGUCGCAAAGUGUCUUCUAGAAGUUUUAUCCAUUAAUGGAGCACUAGAUGCUUGGCAUGCCUGGGUCGUCCUUUUUGGUUAGGAACGGUGACUUAAAUAGAUGAUCCUGACCUCCUUGAACUGCAGUGACCAUCUUAGCUGACUCGGUCCACACUUGCUUGUUCCUGUUCCUCCUGUUGGUCCUCUUCCUUGGUUCAUGUCGGGAAUGCUCUGAGAUUUGUGUAGUCUUGUUCUUAAAGGAAAACGUCUCAUUUCUCCCUUUGAUGUAGAAACUGAUCUUGGCAGCACUAGCAUAGAUGACAGCUCUCGAGGUGUUCAGGAAUGGCCUCCCUAAGACGGGUGCCCUCUCAUCAGUACCAGUCUCUAUCACCACGAAGUUUGCUGGGGCGUACAAGGUACCAACUCGGACGCAAAGGUUCUUCAAUAUUCCCUUUGGGAAACUUAGUGUCUGAUCUACAGGCUGCAAGCACAUGGUUGUUUCUAGUAAAGGAUGUGUAAAGAAUUUUUUCAUAGAGUACCUUGGGCAUAAUGUUGACGCUGGAGCCAAAGUCGCAGAGUGAUUCUAGGAAGUCCACCAUGCCGAUGGAGAUCGGGAUGACGGGGCGUCUUGGAUCACCUCUCUAAGUAGUUAGGCCUCUGAUGAUUCCAACCUUGAUUUUGUUGAGGACGGUUAUAGUUGUUGUUGUUGUUGAUGAUGUAGUUUACGUCCUCAAGCAUCUCAGGGCAGUGAUUGCCUGAGUGUCCAGUAUCUCCAGUGUGUUUGUGCUCGUAGAUCUAGGUUCUUCACUUGGUGGAGAGUAAAAGUCCUUCAUAUUUUUGCUCGAAGUGUUCCUGCUCAUAGAGACAAGGCAGAGAUCAAGUGCAUGGGCCCUGUUGGUGGAAAACACCAACAGAACCAAAAGUGUAUUUGUUCUUCUCUAACCUUAAGCAUAGUGAGCGAGACAAAGUUGAUGGAUAAUAAGAUCAUGAGUGUAGCAUUUAAAGUAUUUGUCAGAUCAGAUCGCUCAACCUAAUGUAAAGAUAAUCUAUUUAUACUUAUGUUUUUAUAUAUAUAUAUAUAUCUUCUAAAGAUUGAGUGUGCAACAUUUUAGCUCAUAUGAUUAGGAGUGUGGGAUCACAAAGGUGGAAGGACUAAACAUAUUGAAUCGAUUGGAUUUGUUAAUCUAGAGUUGUAAAUCAUACAUGUUUGUCUCUUUAUUCAUGUGAAUGCCAGAACCAAUGAGAAACUUAUAAAAAGGAAUGAUAGUCAAGUACCUUAAAAUGUUACCUUACUUGAAGAGUGAUGGUACAGUAUCACCUUGUGAAAGCUUUCCUUUCUUAGCGGUUGUGCAUCGUGUUUGUGGCACCGUCCAUGAAUCAUCUCUUGUGAGCUAUGCCUUCCUUGUGUAAAUUGUUAACCUUCAUGAGUCUCUCUCUUUGUCUCCAAUGUGAGUUUAUCUCAGGACUUCCCAGGUCGAUAUUGAAAGUUUUCCUGCAGGGGUUAGUCUAACAAAAUAUCCAAUAUCUACUAUAGCAUACUAUCGGCUCAAAAAUCAACCUAGACACCAUGUCUAAUUUGAUUCAGGAGGGCAUUUUGACCUAAGCACCAUGCUUAAAUUAAACUCCCUUGGAAGUAAGAUCAUCAUUCCUAAACUAAGCACCAUGCUUAAUUAAGGGAUAAAUGAAACUACUCCAAACCUAGACAUGUACUAAAGCAAAUAAAGGUAGUAUGAGAGCAUUUAUAGAGAUCCACUUGUUGGGUAUUUUAAACGCAAACAGAAAAAUCCGCAAGCGCACGGGUACCGAUGUAGCUUUCACCCGGGAGUAUUCUAGAGUAUCGAUUUUCCACAGAGAACGUGAGUGUACUAAUUAAGAUCCAAGAUCGCCCAAGGAUAACUAUAUAAUUAUUUUUGGUGGGAAGAGAGGAAGUUUCCUGAGAGUUCUCUAGUUGAUCUAAGAAUCAAGAAUUACUUCAAGAUUAUCUAUAUCGGGACAUCAGAACACUAACCACAGAAAGAGAUGAGAAGGGGGCUAGGAAGGUCCGACUACGGUCCUACAAACACCGACCCGAACGUGGUGGAAUACGUCGACCGUUAGGGUUGUCACUACCCUAAGGCUACCACAACAAUCCGCAAGAUUGGGUGCAAUUCCAGGUAAUUGCAAGACUAAACACCACGUCUAAUCUAUUAAUUACUACUCUAAUGUUUCAAAGAUUAGAGCACUUGAUGCAAGCGGGAAUCCAAUAAAUAACUUGAAUGUAAAUAAAAGUAAUUAGAGAACUCAGGAGUUAUGAAUUGAAGAACCUGGAGAACGAUGAAGAACGAACCAGUUGCUGCAAAAGUACAAUGUUGAGGAAGAUCCGACAGAUCCGGCUCCUCCUUCUCCGCUCUCCUCUUCUCUCUCCCUAUUUUCUAGAUUACAACUAGAACUAACUAGAACUAGAACUAGAGGAACUAGAACUAGAACUAGAUGAACUAGAACUAGAUCUAGAUGAACUAGAGGUAGAACUAGAAGAACUAGAGGGAUCCUCUCUACUUGGAUGAAGAAUUGAAACCCUAGCUUUGAUUCUGUAGAAGAGGUAUGAUCUCCAAGGGCCAGGGGGUCUGGUUUUAUAGUCCUUUCAAGUGAAUCUGGGCCGUCGGAUCAAACCGACAUUGAUCGCACGGUUUUCCUUGAUCAUUUAGGUCGGUGGAGCGUUGUCCGCGAAACGUGACCGAAUUGGUCUCUGGAAGUGGGCGGGUGCCCAAGGGACUAGGGCGGGCGCCCUGUGCCUGAGCCCUCUCGGCCUCCGCUUCGGUCCCGUGGCUUCUGGAGUCUUCUAGAUGAUAGAAAAUUGCCCGACACAUUAAUAUCUCCAUGUAAACCUGACGUGUGGGCCUUUCUUCCAUAUUUCCUGAUAACCCCCUGCAAAAAUACACAAACACCAAAACUCGUGGAAUUCUGUCAGAUAAAACCCUAAGUCUAGGUGUUGGUUGCAUUUGGAUCCUUUUCCAUGAUUAAUUGAUGGUUAAUUGUGAGCAUUAAGGACCGUCAACAAGCUCCCCUAAGCUUAACCUUUGCUCGUCCCUGAGCAAAGAUGAACUCAAGAGUUUCUGCAGUGGUUUCAUAACCUAAAGAUACACAUGCGUUUAAACAAGAUCUCAUCUCUGGUUAGAGUAAACUGUUAAGACUUAAAACUUACUCAUUUACCUUUCACCAUGGGACUUGUAACCGUCACUUCUGUCUUGAGUAGUUAAAAGAUAGAACGGUCUAAUCAAGCGCCAUGUCUCAUGUUCUUGAUCAACUAUAGCUCUGGAGUUUUUGCAGAUUUUCAAAUAAAACUCAGAGAUUCCUUGUAUGACUCUCUCUAGUCUCUCUUUUGUGGUAUUUGUGGAUCCUUACCAAGGCAGUAAAGGUGUAUGCCUUCUCUCAAAGUAUGUGGUAUUUUUGAUAUGAGGCAUAAUGGCAUUGCCUUCUCUCUCACCCUACUCUAAUAAGGUUUUGAUAUCUGGAGCUUAUAGUUGGGAGACAGCUAAGACAUACUUACAAGACAUUUAUUGCAUAGUCAAACCAUGGAUCCAGAAGAACAAGUCAAUAAGUCAAAUCAAGAUGUGCAUGUGUGGCGAAUGAAUGGUGUAUGGUGAUGAUGGUGAUAACAAUGGUGGAAGUCUAAUUCUACUUAUACUCUUUUGAGGGGAUACAUACCUUUCUUGCUCUUUUGAAACUUUUCGAGGGGAAUGAGAUGCUCUAUAUUUUCUCUCUCUUUUUUUUCUUUUCUCUCAGGUGGGUAUUUUGUACCCCUAAUUCUACUGUCGGACACUUGUCCAUUUUUACCUCUCGUCUCACUUUUUCAUUUCUUUCGAGGUUCCGGGCACUUGCCCCUUUUUAUUUCCUCGUAUCUUGUUUUUUUUUCUCUUUUUUUUUCUUCUUUUUUUUAGAGCACUCAUCUCCUGAAAUAAUAUAGCAAGUGGUAGUAACCAAGAUAACUUGAGCAUUUAUUUCAAAGGGGAAAACAAAAAUGUUUUUGGCUAUUCUCUCCCGGAUUAGGAGUAGAAUAUUUUUAGGUGAUUCUGGAGAUGGAAAUGGGUGGAUAUAUGUGGAUGCGUACUUCCGGAGUAGAAGCAGCAUGUAUGAGUGAACGUGCAAGUGAAUCUUGACUUAACCACAUGACAAGCUCGUAAGGGUCUACACAGCUUGACCACACUCAAUGCUCAUAAGCAGUAAAAAGUAAAUGUGUGGCUCAAAGUCUAGCAAGCAUGUAUAUAUGGCUGUGGUAGGAAUUUAAACUCUCAUCAUACAGGAACUCAUCAUGCAACAUUUUAAAGAUUUUCAAAGAUAAAAUUCUCCAGAAUUCUAGCAUCUCUAGGAACAGAUAAACAACAGCUCAACCUUCCCAUAUCAUAUCCGUUAACGACUUAGACUUUAGAUCAAGUACUCUUCCCACAAGUUCAGGUUUAGAGCAAAUCUUAAUUAAUAACAGUCAUGCCUAAACUUGAGAGAGAUUUCAAUUUUAAGAACUAGUCAUGGCAGAGCAACUAUUCAUCAUUUCUAUGUGAGAGCUUAUCAUGAGGGUUCAUAGCAAACUUUAUUUAUUUAUUUAUUUAGCAAGCUAAGCAAAGAUAUAUAUAAGCACAAAAUCUUUAUUUGGGUUUCUAUGAUUAUGCAUCUUUUUAUUAUUAGAUUAAAGUAUAAACGUGAGUAGAAUACUUAGCUGGAUAAAUGGGGGUGCUCUCCCCCAAGCUGGAUUUUGACGUAGUUUCUUCUAAUGUAGUUAGCAAGUGGUGAAGGUGUAUUUGAAUGUCAGCAGCACCCUGACAGCGAUUAGGAUGUCCUCCGUCUGCUAGUCUUCUUUGAUCCUUGAAUUCUGUGGAGCUCAAAUAGACAACAAAGCUUUGUGGAACUAGUUAAGUGUUAGCAUAAAUAUCUAGCCUUUAUGAUGUUGAGCCUCCUCAAUAAAUGUUACUCUCUUUAGUAGGAUCACAAUCUUAUUUAUAUUUUCAUUUUUAUAGGACAGGAAUAUAUAUUUAUUUUUACGCCACCACAGUGAAUGUACUUAUGGGUUUUAUGCCAUGAGCAUACUCACAUGGGGCUUACUAUUUUUAACAUUUUUAUUUUCUUUUUAAGAUGAUGUGAACCUGAUUAACUAAGCAAACUAUUUUAAAAUAAUUGAAAGGAAAAAGAUAACAACCAAGUUUACCUCUUGGCAAAGCGUUCGGUGUUUUUAAGUCCUCCGAACGGGACUCUCCGUUUUCUCAUUCGUCCUGGGAUUCGCUGGAUGGCGUAGUCGAUGGUUCCGGCGGCGCUUCUUCUUCAUGUAUAACUAUCUUCUCUCUACACACCUGACUCGGUGCUACGGUCUCCUCAGGACAGUUCUGUUCAAGUUGUAUGUCUUCAGACCUUACACCUUCUCCUUCAUAGUCUACCCAUCCGUCCUUGAUGAUUUACCUCCCCUGGUUGUGGUUGCGUCGUCGUCUUCUUGUCCUGACUUGCUUAGAGUCUUCAACUAUAUAGUUAGGGUCAGUAAAACAGUGGCGUACCUUCUCUGAGGGGAAGUGCAUGUGGACUUCUCUGGUUCCAAUGUAUAUGAUUGCUUUAAUGGUGCUAAAGAACGGUCUUCCAAGGAUGAUGGGUGGAUCGUACUCGUCUUCUCCCAUGUCAAUAACCUUCAAUCUUUCAGAAUGUCUGAUCUGCCAUCUGGAGCUGAAUGUAUGUUGGUUGUAGGGACAUGGUUCCAUGCAGGAGCUGAUAAGUGACUGUAGCCAUUAUGUUGACGUUAGAUCCGGUGUCGUAGAGUGUCUUCUGAAAAGAAUAUCCGUUGAUUGUGCACUCGAUGCUUGGGACACCAGGGUCGUCCUUCUUGAUCAAGAAAGGUGACUUGAGUUGACGAUCUUGACCUCCUUGAGCUGCAGUGACCAUCUUAGCUGACUCGGUACACAUUUGCUUGUUCUUAUUCCUCCUGUUGGUCCUCUUCCUUGGUUCAUGUCGGGAUUGCUCUAUGAUUUGUGUAGUCUUGUUUCUUGAAGGAAAACGUCUCCUUCUUCUCCAUGAUGUAGAAACUGAUCUUGGCAGCACUAGCGUAGAUGACAGCUCCCGAGGUGUUCAGGAAUGGCCAACCUAGGAUGAUGGGUGCCCUCUCAUUAGUACCAGUCUCUAUCACCACGAAGUCUGCUGGGGCGUACAAGGUACCAACUCGGACGUAGAGGUUCUUCAAUAUUCCCUUUGGGAAACUUAGCGUACGAUCUGCAAGAUGCAAACACAUGGCUGUCUCUAAUAAAGGAUGUGUAAAGAAUUUUUCAUAGAGUACCCUGAGCAUAAUGUUGACGCUGGAGCCAAAGUUGCAGAGUGCUUCUAGGAAGUCCACCAUGCCGAUGGAGAUUGGGAUGACGGGGCGUCCUAGAUUGUCUCUCUUGAUCGGCAGAAGGUCAGUAAUUACUUCCACAACGGGGUUACUCCAAUAGUUACAUCCUCAAGCAUCUCAGGGCAGUGUUUGCAUGAGUGUCCAGUAUCUCCAGCGUGUUUGUGCUCAUAGAUCUAGGUUCUUCACUUUGGUGGAGUCUGGGAGUUGUAAAACUCCUUCAUAUUUUGCUCAAAGUGUACCUACUCAUAGAGACAAGGCAGAGAUCAAGUGCAUGGGCCCUGUUGGUGGAAAACACCAACAGAACCAAAAGUGUAUUUGUUCUUCUCUAACAUCAAGCAUAGUGAGCAAGACAAAGUUGAUGGAUAAUAAAAUCAUGAGUGUAGUAUUUAACAUUUGUCAGAUUAGAUUGCUCAACCUUAUGGAAAGAUAAUCUAUCUAUAUAUAUGUUUUGUUUAUAUCUUCCAAAGAUUGAGUGUGCAACAUUUUAGCUUAUAUGAUUAGGAGUAUG
rnacentral:lncRNA from 1 species